UACGUAAGGAGCAAGCGUUAUCCGGAUUUACUGGGUGUAAAGGGAGCGUAGGCGGUAAGGCAAGUCUGAUGUGAAAGGCCAGGGCUCAACCCUGGGACUGCAUUGGAAACUGUUUAACUGGAGUGUCGGAGAGGCAAGUGGAAUUCCUAGUGUAGCGGUGAAAUGCGUAGAUAUUAGGAGGAACACCGGCGGCGAAGGCGGCCUGCUGGACCGUAACUGACGUUGAGGCUCGAAAGCGUGGGGAGCAAACAGG
rnacentral:rRNA from 1 species